AUUGAACGCUGGCGGCAGGCCUAACACAUGCAAGUCGAGCGGUAGCACAGAGAGCUUGCUCUCGGGUGACGAGCGGCGGACGGGUGAGUAAUGUCUGGGAAACUGCCUGAUGGAGGGGGAUAACUACUGGAAACGGUAGCUAAUACCGCAUAAUGUCGCAAGACCAAAGUGGGGGACCUUCGGGCCUCAUGCCAUCAGAUGUGCCCAGAUGGGAUUAGCUAGUAGGUGGGGUAAUGGCUCACCUAGGCGACGAUCCCUAGCUGGUCUGAGAGGAUGACCAGCCACACUGGAACUGAGACACGGUCCAGACUCCUACGGGAGGCAGCAGUGGGGAAUAUUGCACAAUGGGCGCAAACCUGAUGCAGCCAUGCCGCGUGUGUGAAGAAGGCCUUCGGGUUGUAAAGCACUUUCAGCGGGGAGGAAGGCGAUAAGGUUAAUAACCUUGUCGAUUGACGUUACCCGCAGAAGAAGCACCGGCUAACUCCGUGCCAGCAGCCGCGGUAAUACGGAGGGUGCAAGCGUUAAUCGGAAUUACUGGGCGUAAAGCGCGCGCAGGCGGUCUGUCAAGUCGGAUGUGAAAUCCCCGGGCUCAACCUGGGAACUGCAUUCGAAACUGGCAGGCUAGAGUCUUGUAGAGGGGGGUAGAAUUCCAGGUGUAGCGGUGAAAUGCGUAGAGAUCUGGAGGAAUACCGGUGGCGAAGGCGGCCCCCUGGACAAAGACUGACGCUCAGGUGCGAAAGCGUGGGGAGCAAACAGGAUUAGAUACCCUGGUAGUCCACGCCGUAAACGAUGUCGAUUUGGAGGUUGUGCCCUUGAGGCGUGGCUUCCGGAGCUAACGCGUUAAAUCGACCGCCUGGGGAGUACGGCCGCAAGGUUAAAACUCAAAUGAAUUGACGGGGGCCCGCACAAGCGGUGGAGCAUGUGGUUUAAUUCGAUGCAACGCGAAGAACCUUACCUGGUCUUGACAUCCACAGAACUUUCCAGAGAUGGAUUGGUGCCUUCGGGAACUGUGAGACAGGUGCUGCAUGGCUGUCGUCAGCUCGUGUUGUGAAAUGUUGGGUUAAGUCCCGCAACGAGCGCAACCCUUAUCCUUUGUUGCCAGCGGUUAGGCCGGGAACUCAAAGGAGACUGCCAGUGAUAAACUGGAGGAAGGUGGGGAUGACGUCAAGUCAUCAUGGCCCUUACGACCAGGGCUACACACGUGCUACAAUGGCAUAUACAAAGAGAAGCGACCUCGCGAGAGCAAGCGGACCUCACAAAGUAUGUCGUAGUCCGGAUUGGAGUCUGCAACUCGACUCCAUGAAGUCGGAAUCGCUAGUAAUCGUAGAUCAGAAUGCUACGGUGAAUACGUUCCCGGGCCU
rnacentral:rRNA from 1 species